GGGUGAGUAACGCGUAUCCAACCUUCCCCCUAGUAGGGCAUAGCCCGGCGAAAGUCGGAUUAAUACCCUAUGUUAUUCGUAGAGGACAUCUGAAAUGAAUCAAAGAUUUAUCGCUAGGGGAUGGGGAUGCGUCCGAUUAGCUUGCCGGCGGGGUAACGGCCCACCGGGGCGACGAUCGGUAGGGGUUCUGAGAGGAAGGUCCCCCACACUGGUACUGAGACACGGACCAGACUCCUACGGGAGGCAGCAGUGAGGAAUAUUGGUCAAUGGGCGAGAGCCUGAACCAGCCAAGUAGCGUGCAGGACGACGGCCCUAUGGGUUGUAAACUGCUUUUAUGCGGGGAUAAAGUUCACCACGUGUGGUGUUUUGUAGGUACCGCAUGAAUAAGGACCGGCUAAUUCCGUGCCAGCAGCCGCGGUAAUACGGAAGGUCCGGGCGUUAUCCGGAUUUAUUGGGUUUAAAGGGAGCGCAGGCGGGUUGUUAAGCGUGACGUGAAAUGUAGCCGCUCAACGGCUGCACUGCGUCGCGAACUGGCAGUCUUGAGUGAGUACGACGCGGACGGAAUUCGUGGUGUAGCGGUGAAAUGCUUAGAUAUCACGAAGAACCCCGAUUGCGAAGGC
rnacentral:rRNA from 1 species